GGGGGAAGGGUUCUACUCAACAUGAACUCCAAGGUUCCACAGGCAUUCACAAUCCCUCUCUAUUCAGGUCAUGGAGAAGUGUAAGGAUGCAGGCCUCGUGAAUUCCAUUGGAGUGUCCAACUUCAACCGCAGGCAAUUGGAGAUGAUACUGAAUAAAACUGGGCUUACAUAUAAACCUGUCUGCAAUCAGGUGUUUGAGUUCCAGCUGAGUCCGGAAGACAUGAAAGUCAUUGAUGGCCUCAACAAAAACUUUCACUACUUGCCCUUUCAAAUAGCACAGGAAUGCCCCAACUAUCCUUUUGAUGAUGAAUAUUGAUGAAAUUCUGACUCGGAAGAUCUGUAACCCUGAGGCAUUGCAGUUCUCUCAAAGGAAUAGCUUACAUUCUGUUAAUUUUCAUGGAAAUUAGAUGUGGAAUUAUGGUUAAGCCAUGCACCAUGGUUAAGCCUACUCGAAGGCAUAGGUUAAAGGCAGUUGUUCUAUUACAAGCUCUGGUGAUAAGACAGACAUAAUGGUAACCAUUUAUGUAGCAUUUCAAAGUUUACCAGGCACUUUUCAUGCAGGAGUGCAAAUAUUAUCCACUUUUUUUUUUCCCAAGAAAAGUAACCUUUACUCAGAAACGUUGUAUCAGAACUAGUAUCUGGCUCACAGUCUUCCUCUUUCCUCAAAUCUUACCAUUCUAUUUAAGUACUUCAACAUAUAUAUUGAUAUCCCCUCCAGCAUCCUAGCUACUCAGUUCCUUAAUUUUUUCAACUCUCGUGGAUGACUUCUUCACUUUACCAUUUAUAUAUAGUGUGGAUGAGCUGUCCUAGCAAUGGCAGUCCCAUCAGUUCUCUACAAUAUCAUCACCGCUGCUUUUAUUUCCAACAUGAAUAAAGUAAUUUCUGUAACUCUGCUGGAAUGUGUU
rnacentral:lncRNA from 1 species